rnacentral:lncRNA from 1 species
AGAAAAAUAAUUAAAAUGGCCUUAUUACAACCCAAAACCAAACAAUAAUAUUAAUAAGAUAAAACUUAUAAAGAAAUAAAUCGGCUACUUAUUGCAAUUAAAAGAAACAGAAACAGUAGUGUGGCCAUCUCCGAGUCCCUCUCAGCUCCAAACCAUCUAAGCUUAGGGAUUACCUGCAAAGUUAGAAAUAGGGUGAGUUUACGAAAACUCAGUGUGUAAUCCCAAUAACAAACAAACAGUGAAAACACAAUAUCAGUACAAUCUGGGUCAAAGCCCUAUUUAGUCUUGACAUAUACUGGGCCGAAGCCUUUCGUUUAACGAUUACUGGGCCGAAGCCUUUUCAUAAAUCAUAUCACUGGGCCAAAGCCUUUUCAUAAAUCAUUGCACUGGGCUGAAGCCUUUACUGUAAACGGUAUGGCCCAUAGGCCCAUUUCAAUAUCACAUGUAAUGUCAAUGGAUGUAUGCAAGCCCAUUUCAAUAUCACAUGAAAUACCAAUGAAUGUAUGCAAGCCCAUUUGGGGAGACUACUCAACCCACCAUCCGCUACUCUCCACCCGUACCAACCAACACACCAUGUGGGGAAUAACUCAACACACCACUAGCAGCAUAGCUGUUUUAUCAUAUAUCUAGAGGCCUAGCCUCUUUAAUAACUGGGGCAAAGCCCUUUUCGGUAACCUGGGGCAUAAGCCCUUUUCAAUAAACUGGGGCAUAAGCCCUUUUCGGUAAACUGGGGCAUAAGCCCUUUUCGGUAAAUUAGGGCAUAAGCCCUUUUGCACUUCCUCCAUCCAUAUAAAAACCCAACCCAAUGCAACAUGUCAUGUAUGCAGAAUGUCGUGCCCAUAUUUGAAUUAAACAAUCACAGUCAAGUCAUUCAUAUCACCAACAUAUAUUCACAAUCAAAUCCGUCAACCACACAGUCCAAGUCAGUCACUUGCCCACAAGGGCACAACAGUCAUUUUUCACAUUAUAAGGGUAUUGUCGUAAUUUUACCAAAUACCAGGGUUCUCCAUGUUCAUUACAAUUAUCAAUAUUUCUGAGUGUUUAAACAAUGAUCUUUAACCCACUUUAUCAAAUUCAGGCUUUUGGGCCCAAAACCCCUAAUGGGCUCUACGAAUGCUGAUUUAGCCUACUUAACCCAAAUUUUAAAACAAUACUAACCGUGUUAACGUGCAACUUUUUGAAAUUCCAUUUUCUAUCAAUUCUACCCAAAUGGGUCCGAAAGCCCAUUGGGCCCAAUUUCAGCCCAUUGAGGCCCAACUUACCAUCGUGCACAAAAUUGAGUUCUUACCUGUUCCAUCAAUCCAAACACCGAUCUUAUCGUAUUUAUUGCAUCUAUACCCAAAUGCAACAUUACAAGUUCCCGAAAUACCGGUAUUUUAGCAUUUCAGCUUCUCAGCAAAUAUUAAUCUAAGCUAUUAUGAGGGUUAGUACACACCUGUUACGGGUUGAAGUUGAAACGUUUCCAAAAUCAAUCGCCUACGAUAACCACCACCUGUUACUCAAACUUAACUAAUCCAAUAUCAAUAUAUGUAAAUCCUAAGCACAUCAGUCAUACGGAACAUAAGGGCAUAUUCGUCAUUUUACCAUACAGGGGUAUUACGGUCACUUUACCCUACAGGGGCUUUACGGUCUUUUUACCUAAUAGGGGUAUUUUAGUCAUUUCAUCCUCUAAGGGUGUUUUGGUAAAUCUACAAACCAAGGGUAUUUCAAUAAUUUUGUAAACCAAUGGUAUUUCUAUAAUUUUUAGAAAGUCAAGGAUAUUUCUGUAACUUUGUAAAUCAGGGGUAUUUUGGUAAUUUUACAAAUUGAGGCUAUUUCGGUAAUUUCACAAACCAAGGGCAUUUUGGUAAUUUUACAAACUAGGGGUAUUUUGGUAAUUUUACAAACCAAGGGUAUUUUAGUAAUUUUGUAAAUCGAGGGUAAAACGGUAAUUCUAUAAAUCAAGGGUAAAACGAUAAUUCUAUAAGUCGAGGGUAAAAUGAUAAUUAUGUAAAUCGGGGGUAAAACGGUAAUUAUGUAAAUCGGGGGUAAAACGGUAAUUCUGUAAAUCGGGGGUACUUUGGUAAUUUUACACGUCGAAGGUAUUUCAGUAAUUUUACAAAUCGAGGGUAUUUCAGUAUUUUUACAAACUAAGGGUAUUUCGAUAAUUUUAGUAAACAAAAGUAUUCUAAACAGGAUAACAAUACGAAUGGGCCUAAAGCAUAUUCUCGGCCCAAAUAGGCCCACACGCUCGUGUGGCCCUUUUAGCCCAAAUCUAGCCACAGAUAUGAGAUUCACCUAGCCUAGUCUAAUAUUUACUACACAAUCAAACAACUUAUCCAAUUGGGCCCGUAGGCCCAUUGGGCCCACAUGGCCCCUUUCGGCCCAUCGCGGCCCGAAGUAGCCAUCCUACAGCUAGAGUAGUGAGAAAUACACACCUGAUAGGAGACUGGAGUUAAUCCACACUCCGAGCACUCUUAGCCGAUGCCCAACCCAACGAGCACGCCAUACAGCGAAAGGGAUCAGCCA